rnacentral:pre_miRNA from 1 species
GUAGUACUCCCUCCGUCCGGAAAUACUUGUCAUCAAAAUAAAUAAAAUGGGAUGUAUCUAGAUGUAUUUUAGUUCUAGAUACAUCCCUUUUUGUCCAUUUUGAUGACAAGUAUUUUCGGACGGAGGGAGUACUAG